rnacentral:misc_RNA from 2 species
CAACCCUCGAGCUCCCCUUUCGGGGGGAGCCCGGCGUUGGGGACCCGGCGCUAACAACGCCGGCCCCGAAAUGGAGUGGCGGCCCGUCCGCGGCGACCUCUGCGUAGUAACAACCACUCGCACCGGGACCCGGGCGCGGCCACGCCGUAAAACACCCCACCUUCCGAA